UACGUAGGUGGCAAGCGUUAUCCGGAAUUAUUGGGCGUAAAGCGCGCGUAGGCGGUUUUUUAAGUCUGAUGUGAAAGCCCACGGCUCAACCGUGGAGGGUCAUUGGAGACUGGAAAACUUGAGUGCAGAAGAGGAAAGUGGAAUUCCAUGUGUAGCGGUGAAAUGCGCAGAGAUAUGGAGGAACACCAGUGGCGAAGGCGACUUUCUGGUCUGUAACUGACGCUGAUGUGCGAAAGCGUGGGGAUCAAACAGGAUUAGA
rnacentral:rRNA from 1 species